GAAGCAGGCGGCUGCCGGUCGGAGCGUGAGGUGAACUGAAUUUCAGGAUGAAAGCACGAUGGUAAUGUGGAGACUGCUCCAGGACAGAAACGACUGCAUUAUAUUGCUACCACAACUUCGGCUCUUCGCAAGCACCUGCACAGACACCAUGGUAACGCUAAGCUACCCAAGAACCCAGACUGAUGUUAAAGCUGAGCAAAUUCUGACCCCUGCCCAGCACUGUGAUGAAGUGAGCUAUCAUUUCUGGUGAAACCGCUGCUGAACUUCAACAGGUGAUCCAGGUGUUUUGUUUGUUUUUGUUUUUCUUUCCCCUUUCU